UCCCUCAGGAUAGCUGGAGCUC
rnacentral:snRNA from 1 species